UGGGCAACAGAGCGAGACUCUGUCUCAAAAAAAAAAAAGAAAAUUGAACAGAGAUUAUAACACUUUUACCAUAUCUAUCCAUUUAUCAUUCCUAAUUUCAUCUAUUACUCUUACUCUUUGGUGUAUUUCAAAGGAAAUUCCAGACCCUAAUAGUUUAAAAAGCUUUUUGUUAUUUCAAUCCUACAGAAGAGUUACGAGAAUAAAGAUGGCACAAAGUACAACUGUAUGCCCUUGACCCCAAUUCACCUGGAGCUCACGUUUACUUCAUUCGUGUCAUCAUCUGCAUGUGCUCCCUCUCUAGAUCUGUAUGGAUAUAAGCACAUUUUUCCUUGGACUUUGUGAGGCGUUGUAAAUGGACGAGCCUGCUUGCUGCAGAGGUAACCCUCGGGACCUGGGACACUGUUUGUUGUAUAACACAGCGUUGUAAAUGGACGAGCCUGCUUGCUGCAGAGGUAACCCUCGGGACCUGGGACACUGUUUGUUGUAUAACACAGCGUUGUAAAUGGACGAGCCUGCUUGCUGCAGAGGUAACCCUCGGGAAGUCUGGUUCCCCCGAAUUUUACCUGCUCAUCUCUGGGCCAAGGGCAUAAUAUCUCUGCACAGCUAAUAGCCCGAUGGCCACACUAGUCCAGAAGCUCCGCUCUGCACAGAGUUGGAAGUUCAUCUACUUCUCAGUGAACAACAUCAUGAGUUCUUCAAAAUUGAUGCCGGUGUAGGCCAGACAACCAUGAAGGGAUGCUGGUGUACGUCAGCCCAAGGUAGGAGGAAGGGCUGGGCAAGGCAGGGAGAGGAGGCCCCAGACCUUUCUACCAAAGCCUAUUUACCCGGAGGAGCACAGACCAGACUCUCGUUCCUGUCCUCCCUGUCGUUCCUGACUCUAGGUAACCUUGGUGGACCCCUGUAACUGUCUGGCUCUAGGAUUCCUCUUCUGCACAAGAGUGAUGCUACCUCAUGAGCUUGUGGGGACUCUCACAUGCUGAGCUUUUUACAUAAAAAAAUAGCACAGGACUACAUGAGUAUAUUCUCAUUGCAAAAAAUCAAAACAUGGAAAAGCAAAAGUGCAAGUUUCUGUUCUCCAAACUUCCUUACCCCCUCCGCCCCCCACCUGCCCAAUUCCUUCCCUUCCCUUUUUGGGUAUCCAUAUAGACAGUUUCCUUCACAUUUACUUACAGACAUAGACUUAUAUGACAAAUAGUUUUGUUUUUGGUGUUUCCCUCUAACAUUUUGUCCAGAAAAUCAUAUAGAAAAGUUGAAAGAAUUGCAGAAUGAACACUCUUACAAUCACCUAGGUUUUAGAGUAAACACUUUGCUGUACUGCGUUAUCACACGCCUCCUUAUUUACCCAUGCUUCCUUUCCUCCAUCUGUCCUUUUACACUUUCACUUUAGCAUACGGUGAGUUGCACCAAUCUAGAGUCAACAUUGUGUAAGGGUUUUUUUUUGUUUUCGUUGUUGUUUUUUGAGAUAGGGUCUUGCUCUGUCUCCUCGGCGGUGGCAUGCAUG
rnacentral:lncRNA from 1 species